GUGGGGAAUUUUGGACAAUGGGCGCAAGCCUGAUCCAGCAAUGCCGCGUGCAGGAAGAAGGCCUUCGGGUUGUAAACUGCUUUUGUACGGAACGAAACGGUCCGGGUUAAUACCCUGGGCUAAUGACGGUACCGUAAGAAUAAGCACCGGCUAACUACGUGCCAGCAGCCGCGGUAAUACGUAGGGUGCAAGCGUUAAUCGGAAUUACUGGGCGUAAAGCGUGCGCAGGCGGGUUUGUAAGACAGGCGUGAAAUCCCCGGGCUCAACCUGGGAAUUGCGCUUGUGACUGCAAGGCUGGAGUGCGGCAGAGGGGGAUGGAAUUCCGCGUGUAGCAGUGAAAUGCGUAGAUAUGCGGAGGAACACCGAUGGCGAAGGCAAUCCCCUGGGCCUGCACUGACGCUCAUGCACGAAAGCGUGGGGAGCAAACAGGAUUAGAAACCCGAGUAGUCC
rnacentral:rRNA from 1 species